GACGGUUCCCGGUAGGCGAGGCGGGAGGAACGGGGAGUAGCGGCGGUGGUCCCAGCCCGGCGGUGGUCCCGGCCCGGCGGUGGUCCCGGCCCGGGCGGCGGUCCCGGCCCGGGCGGCCCUGAGGCCCGGGCGUAAACGGCCUGUUGGCGGGGGGUCAGGCCCCCCGGGCGGCGUGCGUUGUCCCCGGCCGCCCUCUGUAAUACUUCCAGCCACCGUACCGUCAAUAUUUGGCAGGUGAGGUGGGAGGGGCCUGGGUUUGCACCCCUGGGGCAGGGAGAGCAGGUGCCUGGUGCGGAGGUGGGGGAGUGCGGCCGGUCAAGAUGGAUCCUGCCUUCCCCCACCGCUACGCCCAGUCCUGUGAGGUGAGCCUGGCCCUCUUUCCUCUCCAGUGGUUGCCUCUGCCAGCAUAAGGAGAGCAGCACCAUCUGUCUUCUGCUUUCCUUUUUCCAAGUCCUACAUGCUUCACAAAUUGCCAGCGUUCAGCCUACAAGUAGCACUCCAUACAGUGUGAUUUGCCCUUUUUUUUUUUUUUUUAAUUCUUCCACUGCUCCAUUGCUGUUUUCUCCACUAUGAAGAGCAGCAAAGAAUGAGUGGAGUUGGGGUCCAAGAGAGAAGACCAGAUCACUUUAAAAGGAAGGAGGGAGAGAAUGAAAAUAUAACUUCUCAGCCCUCUUGCCGAUUUUUCAUGCAAAAAGGUUAAUAGCUGAAGGAUAUGCUCUGGCCCACAUGCUUCACCAGCGCAGGAGGUGGCAGGUUUCAGGACUAGAGCAGCCAUCGGUAGGUUCCAGCACGGCAAGUUCUGUGUUCCUUUGAUUAAGAGACUGGGUGCAAAGGGCCAACCAGCCAGUCAGUUUUGGGGAAAAAAUCCAGAAACAAAAAGGAAUUGAAGCAAUCCAUUCCUUUUGAAGAUAAAGGUGAGGUGGUACACGUCACCCUAAUUGCUGAGCAUCUCUGUAUUGCCUGUGUUACAUUCGCAGGUCAAAUGCAGUGUGAAGGCAAUGUGAAAAUCUAACUGCCAAGGCAUCUGGGCUAUGUCAGAAAGACUUGCUGCUCUCUGCUUUCUUGGAGCUAAAAGAAAAUUCAAUACCCCAGUCCAGCGAUACCCCAUGUUGUGUCCCGGUCCGAGACUCACAGCCCCACUCUUGCGGGAGGAAAAUGCUGCAUCUUUGGAAAACCUGGGUGAAAUUUUAAGUGGCACAGCAGGAGUAGAACCCAAGGCCUUCUGCUGGUUCACUGUUACCCAGCACAUUUUGGACUUGUCUGUCCAAAACUUUGGAUGAUGUCAGUGAGGUAAGUGGUGUAAAAUUGCCGUUCUGUCUGGGAGAUGUUAGAUCCAUUUGCUUUCGCAAUGUCCUGAUGUGUGUGGCCGUACAGGAGUGUGGCAGCAACUCCUCUAAUCUUCAGCCUAUUACUGUAGUGGAAAAAAUAACAUAGAAAUAUCAUGUAAUUUAUUUUUUUUUAAAUUGUGGGUUUUAAAAAAAAAAGGCCUCCCAAUUCUCCUGUCACUAGUUGCAGUCCAGGAAACUUUGUGUUUAUUAAGUACUGUGUAAAUUUGCAGCUCUCUAUAAAUGUAAAAUCAAUAGCAAUGAUAACAGCAGCAAAGUGCUUAGUCCAGCUCUGGUAAUAACCCAAGACUGCUAACUUCUUGAUAAGGUCACUAGCUUUACACGGGCACCUCCUCUCCAUGCGAAAGCACAGGGUGCAGAACAGAAGAUCCUUGUCUUCCCUGACAAGAAAGGAAACACUAAAAACAUGUAAUUUCCAGUCGGUGACAAUGGCAGGCAACAACCUGAAGGACUCUCUUAAAAUCUACUGUGGGGGCCUUAGCCCCUCCGCGGAGUGCUGCAAACACACUUCCUCUUCUAGGAAAUUAAAAUCUUAACAAACAUCU